rnacentral:lncRNA from 10 species
CUGUCUGCAUGCUUUGGGAAGCCCUGAGAUGCUGCUUGCUAAUUGUAAUAUACAGAUAAAGAUGCUGUCUCACAGGAUUAUUUUGAUGACCAAAUGAAUGUGUGGACAAAGGGCCCGACAGUGCUUGACAUAAAAGACAGCUCACCAUCCCAGAAAACUGACUGAGUGGGCCUCAGACACAGUAACACCUGCUAUCUCUUUAGACUGGGAAUUGCCAAAUGACUUUUAAGCAAAAAGAGCAGAUAAUACCUCAUCGCAUUCUCCAACACUGGAGGCCGGCAAAAUUGAAGACAAACAGAAAGUGAAAGGAGAGAAUGGAAGCCAUUGCAUCCAGCAGAGAGUUUUCACCAUUUCCUUAACGUGGAGGACUCUAAACUGUCAACCCCACUCUAUAUUGUUCGCUAUUCAAUUAUGCUUAGUGAAUUAUACUGUGCAUAGCAUAGGGCUCACAUUUCAUAAAUAUAUAGAUUAUGAGAAGCCUAAAUGGCUGUUGUCAUGAAUAUUUUGUUGUUUCAAGUGAGCAGAGAAAGAACAUAGCGCCUUUUAUAGAGUGUUGCAUUAACAAUAAUUAACUAUCACAUUAGCAAUACUUGAUAAUGUUAAGAAAAAGGUUACAUUUGAAACCAUGUUUGUUUAAAACCUUCCACAUUUCAGUAUUAUUUUAUGACAAAUGAUAUAUUUGGCAAUUGCUAAAUGUCCUGUUUUCAUUAAUACUGGUGAAUGGAGAACAUAUAAAUUCUUUUUUAAAAUAAAUUUUAUUGUAUAUACUUAAUUUACAAAACAUGACGUUAUGGAAUACAAAUAGGAAAACGGUUACAAUAGUGAUGCAUAGUAGUUUGCAUCUUUUUCUUAUCUCUUUGUAUUUCAUAACAUCAUGAUGAUUCCUUAUCUUCAUCUUACAUAGUUACAUAGUUUUUUUUAUGGCAGGAGCAGCUGUAACCCACUCAUUUAGCAAAAAUCCCAAAUACAAUUCAGUAGUCAUCCCUUAUCUGUGGUUUCACUUUCCAAUGGUUGCAGUUUCCCAGGGUCAGCUGCAGUCUGAAAGUAUCAAGUGGAAAAUUCCAGAAAUAAACAAUUCAUG